AUUAACGCUGGCGGCGUGCAUGAGACAUGCAAGUCGAACGGACGGGCGAGCUUGCUCGCCCGUUAGUGGCGGACGGCUGAGUAACGCGCGGGUGACCUGCCCCGAAGUGGGGAAUAACUGCCCGAAAGGGUGGCUAAUACCGCAUGUGGUGACUGGUUCGUUCCAGUCUCCAAAGCCGCAAGGCGCUUCGGGAGGGGCCUGCGUCCGAUUAGCUCGUUGGUGGGGUAACGGCUCACCAAGGCGACGAUCGGUAGGUG
rnacentral:rRNA from 1 species